rnacentral:sRNA from 1 species
CUACCUAACAAAAAAAAAUGGUACUGCUGUUAGUGGUGGGGGGCUCCAUUCUUUCAGCAGCGUGCAAAAAUCAUUCCAAGCAUUGAUACCACUGCACUUCCUCCUUCAAUUAAAAUUUCUCCUCCUUAAUUCCAUCCAACCGCACCGCUUCUAGCUCCUUCACCAAUUCCAAUUCAAUCUGCCUCUGCUCCACUUCCGUGCACACCACUGCCAACCAGCUUGCUCCUGCGCUCCAUGUGCUUCUACUCAUUCCACACACACCAUUUCAUUUUCUUUUAGCUCCACGUUCCAGGGCAGCCUCCCAUUCCAUCACCGUUGCAUUCUCUUCGAGCGUAACAGCACAUUCCAGCACCGUUUUUCUUCCAGCCAGCAUGGCACCUUAGGAGUGAAAGACUUGCUGCAAAUCUGGAAGAGGAAACGUGGAGAGUUGUUGAAGUUUGAAGGAGAUCAAAUCUUUUGGAGAAAGGUCCAAGGAAGUCUUCAAGAGAUGUUGUCGAGGAGAGUCCUUGGGAGCAAGAGCUGGAGAAUACUGAGGCUGCGGAGUAGUCUUCUUAGAAUUUCCUAUCUGAACACGUGUAGUGUUCGAAUUUAUGAACUGUUUAAGUUUGAAUUUCAGUUUCUUUUAUUUGGAUGAUUGUAAUUUAACAAUUAAAUUACACGUCGUAUUCUGACUGUUCUCUAUAUUUGAAUGUUAACGUCCUUAUUAUAUAAUAUUGACUAUUAUAUAAUCGGGAUGUUACAAUAUCAUACCUUGCACCUUUGAAGAAAAUGAAGAGAGGCCAGUUUGAGUUGUUGUUUGGUUCAUUGGAACUACCAUUCUCUUCCAUUAAUGAAUUUUGAUGAACUCACAGCAGAAGUGAAAAAACUAUGCAGAAGAAGUGUUUGAAGAAAUUGAUCUCAGAGGGAGAAAAUCCUCAACGACAAGAAUCU